rnacentral:rRNA from 1 species
UUUGGACAAUGGGCGCAAGCCUGAUCCAGCAGUGCCGCGUGCAGGAUGAAGGCCUUCGGGUUGUAAACUGCUUUUGUACGGAACGAAAAAGCUCUCUCUAAUACAGGGGGUGAAUGACGGUACCGUAAGAAUAAGCACCGGCUAACUACGUGCCAGCAGCCGCGGUAAUACGUAGGGUGCAAGCGUUAAUCGGAAUUACUGGGCGUAAAGCGUGCGCAGGCGGUUUUGUAAGACAGAGGUGAAAUCCCCGGGCUCAACCUGGGAACUGCCUUUGUGACUGCAAAGCUGGAGUGCGGCAGAGGGGGAUGGAACUCCGCGUGUAGCAGUGAAAUGCGUAGAUAUGCGGAGGAACACCGAUGGCGAAGGCAAUCCCCUGGGCCUGCACUGACGCUCAUGCACAAAAGCGUGGGGAGCAAACA